rnacentral:rRNA from 1 species
UCGAUUGAGUUUGAUCAUGGCUCAGGACAAACGCUGGCGGCGUACCUAAGACAUGCAAGUCGAACGGUUCUUUUCGCUUCGGCGGGAGGGAUAGUGGCGGAUGGGUGAGUAACGCGUAGGAACCUGUCGCACAGUGGGGGAUACCGCUGGGAAACCGGCGCUAAUACCGCAUGUGGUUCUCUGAGUAGAUCAGAGAAAGAAAGCACGCAAGUGCGCUGAGUGAGGGGCCUGCGUCCGAUUAGCUAGGUUGGUGGGGUAAAGGCCUACCAAGGCGACGAUCGGUAGCUGGUCUGAGAGGACGGUCAGCCACACUGGGACUGAGACACGGCCCAGACUCCUACGGGAGGCAGCAGUUAGGAAAUUUUUGCAAUGGGGGAAACCCUGACAGAGUAACGCCGCGUGGAGGAUGACGGCCUUCGGGUUGUAAACUCCUUUUCUGUGGGAAGAGUAGAAGACGGUACCGCAGGAAGAAGCCUCGGCUAACUACGUGCCAGCAGCCGCGGUAAUACGUAGGAGGCGAGCGUUGUCCGGAAUUACUGGGCGUAAAGAGCGCGUAGGCGGCGCUGUACGACACGGGUGAAAGCCCCCGGCUCAACUGGGGAGGGUCCCGUGUAACGGCAGUGCUACGAGUGCAGGAGAGGGAAGUGGNAACUCCGGGAGUAGCGGUGAAAUGCGUAGAGACCCGG